GACGGAGGAUGCAAGUGUUAUCCGGAAUCACUGGGCGUAAAGCGUCUGUAGGUGGUCAAAUAAGUCAACUGUUAAAUCUUGAGGCUCAACCUCAAAAUCGCAGUCGAAACUAUUCGACUAGAGUAUAGUAGGGGUAAAGGGAAUUUCCAGUGGAGCGGUGAAAUGCGUAGAGAUUGGAAGGAACACCGAUGGCGAAGGCACUUUACUGGGCUAUUACUAACACUGAGAGACGAAAGCUAGGGUAGCAAAUGGG
rnacentral:rRNA from 1 species